rnacentral:tRNA from 1 species
UGGGAAAUAGCCAAGUGGUAAGGCUAUAGGUUUUGGUCCUGUGAUCGUGGGUUCGAUUCCCUCUUUCCCAG